UUGUGUGCAUCCGCGCAUGCGUAGUAACAUCUUUCGUUUGGUGAAGCCCACGGGGGAAACAUUGGUCCAAUUUGCACAAAAUAUGCGCGAAUUCCUCGAAAUCCCACACGGGGCGCAUUGUGCACAAUUACAGCCCGAAGCUACGACCUCCAACUGGUAAAUAUACACACCCUUUACAUCAGUGGUGGCAAAAUACGUGUGGGUGGGUGCCGCUCCCGCUGCACCGACGGUCGUGUGGAGGCAACAGCAGAGAAUCAAAUGCAUACCGAAACCCCCCCCCAAAAAACGCCCACCGGCGUCAAUGUUCCGGGGAGGUGUGCACCCCAGGGUGCGUGCUGUUAAUUAAAGCGCUCCAUGACAGGGACCGGCCGCCAGAUCUCCCGAAGACCCCAGGGCGUGGAGCUCAGGAUGAUGUCAGCCAGAGAGUCGUAACUUAAGCAGUGACAGGCCGUUUGACUUUUCUUUUUCUGGUCAUCAUCUGACAACUCUUAGCAAGAAUUUACAACAGGGUGGUGAUAUUCCCAUAACCACAUAUUUCAGUAUCGGUCGUACAGUGCAACCGUCUGCCGCUGCUUCUGUUUGUUUUUCUCCGAGACACGGAAUCAAGCGCCCAGACUACUGGCAGACCCCAGUGAUCAGACCAGCAAAUAAAUCCUGGUUCCUGACAACUGCUUUACAAGGACAAAACAUGAAACAAACCAGAGGGUCACCACAGCCACCACCACCGUUACAACUACAGCUUCAGGGAUCUUCAAAUGGACCAGUAACAUCAUUAUGGACACGUAAUCUAGACCAUGACACUGAAUACAUCCUGGACUUCUCCAACCCUACAACCGUAGGACUUAUCAUUAUAUCAUAUCCAACCCUGCACUGACACCAUUUGCAGGCUCACUCUACCCUGGAAGGGGGUCCCUCUCUGUAUCACUCCUUCCCAAGGUUUCUUCCUUUCUUUUUUUCUCCUAGAGUUUUUUUGUGUGGAGUUUUUCCUUGUGUGCAGAAGGGUCAAGUGUGGGGGGUGUCAACUGUAGGGCCUGUCAAAGCCCAUUGAGUCAUACUGUAUGUGAUUUUGGGCUAAAUAAGAAAUAAAUGUUGUUGUUGUGGUGUUUAACCCGUUAUG
rnacentral:lncRNA from 1 species